GAUGAACGCUAGCUACAGGCUUAACACAUGCAAGUCGAGGGGAAACGAUAUUGGAAGCUUGCUUCCGAUAGGCGUCGACCGGCGCACGGGUGAGUAACGCGUAUCCAACCUGCCCAUCACUUGGGGAUAACCUUGCGAAAGUAAGACUAAUACCCAAUGACGUCUCUAGAAGACAUCUGAAAGAGAUUAAAGAUUUAUCGGUGAUGGAUGGGGAUGCGUCUGAUUAGCUUGUUGGCGGGGUAACGGCCCACCAAGGCGACGAUCAGUAGGGGUUCUGAGAGGAAGGUCCCCACAUUGGAACUGAGACACGGUCCAAACUCCUACGGGAGGCAGCAGUGAGGAAUAUUGGUCAAUGGACGAGAGUCUGAACCAGCCAAGUAGCGUGCAGGAUGACGGCCCUAUGGGUUGUAAACUGCUUUUAUAAGGGAAUAAAGUGGGAGUCGUGACUCUUUUUGCAUGUACCUUAUGAAUAAGGACCGGCUAAUUCCGUGCCAGCAGCCGCGG
rnacentral:rRNA from 1 species